CGGCGCGUGCAUAUUUAGAUGAAAGCGCCACACGAGUUUAGUCGCACAGAAAAUUCUGGAAGAACAUGGCGGCUGAGCUGUUUAGCAAGGCAAACGAAGAGUUCGUCAGUGAGAAUUAUCAGCGCGCAAUCGAGCUCUAUUCUGAAGCCAUCCAGGCAGAAGGUGAGAGAGAUGAGUUCU